GCUGGAGACGCGUGGAGCUGUUCGAGGACUCGCGGGUGUGCAGUGCACCUAUGAUAUGUGUUUUAGAAAUAGCUGUUAAACUUUGGUUUGAAUGAAGAAUGUCUCUCAAUCCACCUAUAUUUCUCAAACGAAGUGAAGAAAAUAAUUCAAAAUUUGUGGAAACAAAACAGUCACAAACUACUUCCAUAGCUUCAGAAGAUCCCCUUCAAAACUUAUGUUUAGCAUCUCAAGAAGUUCUUCAAAAAGCUCAGCAAAGUGGAAGAUCAAAAUGUCUCAAAUGUGGUGGUUCCAGAAUGUUCUACUGCUAUACAUGUUAUGUUCCAGUUGAAAAUGUACCCAUUGAACAGAUUCCACUUGUGAAGCCGCUCCCCAUCACUCGCAUUACCACCUGAGCUCUGCCUCCUGUCAGAUCAGCGGCAGCAUUAGAUUCUCAUAGGAGCAUGAACCCUGUUGUGAACUGUGCAUACAAGGGACCUAGAUUGCAUGCUCCUUAUGAGAAUCUAAUGCCUGAAGAUCUGUCACUGUCUCCCAUGUCCUAGAUGGGACCAUCAAGUUGCAGGAAAACAAGCUCAGGGCUCCUGCUGAUUUUACAUUAUGGU
rnacentral:sRNA from 1 species